UCCUCCUUCUCCUUCACUUCACAUGCCAGCAUGGCUCUAUGAAAAACUUUGGGACAACAUAGAUGUAAACAAUGGUUCUCACCAACAACUGCCAGUGGACCACAACUCAAGUGUAAGGAAGCAGCUAUGAAAAUCUUAUCAAUGUGAUGCAGGUGUCCAGCAACUUAAAAUGUUCUUUGUCAGCUGAAGAAGUGCCUAACAAUUUUGGUUUCCAAAGCGGCGCCUCUGGGAGGUCAAAAGCAAGGAAUGUUCUGCUUCCUAUUUGUGAUCUAUAUAAUAUUGUGAAAUAUAUACAUCUAUACAUACAACACAAGAAACUGCUUUUCCCAAGUGAAAUAAAUAGCCUAU